GACUCGAUUGCGGAUGGUCCGCGCUUGCUUCCGGUGGUUUUCAGGAUUAUUCUUCAGCAGGAGGUUGCCGGUUCGAUUCCGGCUCGAGUUA